rnacentral:misc_RNA from 1 species
CACGAUGAUGCACAUUUCAUUAGCACAGUGUUUCUAAUUAUUGUUAAAGAAAAGAAAAAGUAAAUAAAUAAUUUACAGAUCUUUUGAUUAAUUGCAAUUUAAGAUAGAAAGAUAACAGAACAUUCUCAUUUCUAAUACCAAAACUCUAAAGUAAAGCUCACAAGAUAGCAUACGUAAAACACAUUAUCCUACCAAACCAACCUCUAAACUAAAACCAAAACCAAAACAAACACCCAAAACGCAAGCCCGACCCCGCCAGAACCAAUCCUCCUCGCACCCGAAAUGCAAACCCGAACGUCAUCCACCACGGGCCCACAUAGGGAGCUCAUAUCAUCUGUCCUGGUAUUGUAGUAAACACUGUAGAAUGCAAUCCUGGUUCUAUCGGCCUUGGCAGUGAAGUUCAAAUUAGCAGUUUGAAAGGUGGAAUUAGAAUUGGGAGUAUAAUGGACGUUUUGGGCCUGAUCUCCAGCGAAGGCCAUAAUUGCCAUGGGUUGCUUGCAUUUGUCCCCAGCAUGGCCCAAGGAAAAUGUCAUGGUGUAUGGCUUAUUUGGCGUUGUUUCAACCAUUUGGGAAAUUAUGCCUUCUUUUCCUGAGAGCAAUUCAAUGGCGCGUUUGCCUCCUGGAACUGAGAAGUGGUAGGAGUCGAUGUAGCGAACAGCCCUGUUGGAUUCGACAGUCCAACCAGGUAAAGAAGUUAUUUCCUCAUCCAGGUUGGUGGGUAGUAACACCCCUAGUGAAACGUUUCUAAACAUCCACGGACCUUCCUCAAAGUCACCGUUUAGUACUGCAUCGUCUUUGGGUUUAUCGGGAGCCAAAAGCUUCUUGAUGGCAAUGUCAUCAAUAAUGGGCCCACAAGCGGGGUCAUCCUCCAUGCCCAAAUUCCUAAAAACCAAAUUCACCUUAUCCUCCUCUGCUUCAAAAGCCCACGCGUAUGGGUCCCACCCUUGCACAUUAUACAAUGUUUGCAAGUCUAUGGUCUGUGAUGCAGGUGGCACUGAGAUGUUUAGCGACUCCAGCUGAGCGCACGUGCGAGCCGCACUGAACGUCACCGAGUAAAUAGACCCUUUCUCCACCGUCAACUCUUGGCUUAUCUCUGCGUCGUUGCCCAAUCUCACUGCAUGUGUACCACCGGGUACAAUGAGGAUCAUCCCACCCUGUUUUUGCCCCGAAGAUACGAGCUCUACGGCGCCGCUUACUUUCCAGCUGGGGAUUUCGUUGGGCCCAUCCGCUAAAGCGCCGCUAGGGAAACCGUUGGAUGGUGCCGUUUCAAAAUCACCGUUGGUCACCAGUCCAUCUUCUCCUAGUAUAGCACUAGCAAACAGAGCGAAGAAGAGAAUAAUAGACGAAGCGAACCAGUUUCUUCCUGUUGAGCUUUGAACCAUGUUUACUUCUUGGCCAAGCUCUCUCUCUGUCUGUCUCUCUCU